rfam:Alligator mississippiensis ScZkoYb_1083, whole genome shotgun sequence.
CUUCAGUGAGGAUGAGAUGACGAGUCUGAAAAGAGAGAUCCUCGGCCCAUUGUCCUUAUCCAUGUUACGUUCUGUAUCACGGAUGUCUGGACUUUGAGUCUGAGUCCUCUGCUGAUGACUCAGAGGCAUUUGUCUGAGAAGG